UCAGUCACAGCUGUACAAAUCACAGGACUUUUUUUUAAUUGGCAGAAGACAUAUACAUUAUUCAUCUAUUCAGUUUCAUCUGAAGGAAAUAAAAAAAAGACACAAUUUUAUUUUCCAACAAAAUAUCUAAAGCUGCUUUUUCCCCAUGAAAAACUGGACAGAAGACCUCAUCCGUGAUCUAUGCUCAUGGGCCCAGCCGCUCCACGGCAUGUGGGAUCUUCCCGGACCGGGACACGAACCCGUGUCCCCUGCAUCGGCAGGUGGACUCUCAACCACUUCGCCACCAGGGAAGCCCUGUAUGAAUGAAACAGCAGUCCAGCAAGAUUAUCCUCAGCAUAUGUGGCUCGACCAUUCUCUGUACAUCAAUUUGAGGUCUGCCUGUGUGAGGUGUCUCAUUAGGAGAGCCUGAGUAAAAUGUCUGAAUCAUUCCAAUGUCUGGUCACAUAACAUAAGGAAAUUUACCAACAUUUUGGUCACUAAUAGGUAACAGUGCAGCAAUAUUAUGCUUUAAAAGUCUUUCACACUCAGCCAUUAAAUAACUAUUGGAGAACUCUGGAUCCAAUUCAUAGAAAAUCUUAUAUAAUACCUGCUUCCUUCAUAGUUAUAAACCAACAGAAGAUGACAUCUUCUUUCUUUCCUCUCAUUUAUUUAUAUGAAUCAGAAUCAAGCUUUUAAUUCACAGAAGGUAAUAAGUAUACAAAAGCACCUACAGACAUUUUGUGUAUAUUAAUUGAAAACAUAAAUUUAUUCCAUUACCGUAAAAUUCCCCUGACAGGGUUCUGAGGUAGCAAUCUGGGAGCUUUCUGAAAGGCAAGUCUGAUAAUGCCUCUCCCCAACUUAAAAUCGUUCAAUAGAUUCCCACUGCUCUAAAAUACAGUGCUGACUCUUAAAGAGAGUCUAAAAAUGACUGGACCCUUACUGCUUUCUCCAGCCUUAAUGCCUCACCCUAUUGUCAAAC